AUUGAACGCUGGCGGCAUGCUUUACACAUGCAAGUCGAACGGCAGCACGGGCUUCGGUCUGGUGGCGAGUGGCGAACGGGUGAGUAAUGUAUCGGAACGUGCCCAGUCGUGGGGGAUAACGUAGUGAAAAUUACGCUAAUACCGCAUACGAUCUAUGGAUGAAAGCGGGGGAUCGCAAGACCUCGCGCGAUUGGAGCGGCCGAUAUCAGAUUAGGUAGUUGGUGGGGUAAAGGCCCACCAAGCCAACGAUCUGUAGCUGGUCUGAGAGGACGACCAGCCACACUGGAACUGAGACACGGUCCAGACUCCUACGGGAGGCAGCAGUGGGGAAUUUUGGACAAUGGGCGAAAGCCUGAUCCGGCCAUUCCGCGUGCAGGAUGAAGGCCCUCGGGUUGUAAACUGCUUUUGUACAGAACGAAAAGGUUUCUACUAAUACUAGGAGCUCAUGACGGUACUGUAAGAAUAAGCACCGGCUAACUACGUGCCAGCAGCCGCGGUAA
rnacentral:rRNA from 1 species